GUUUCCGUGGUGUAGGGGUUAUCACGUGCGCCUCACACACGUAAGGUCCCCGGCUCGAUCCCGGGCGGAAACA
rnacentral:tRNA from 1 species